UAACCUGCCCAAGAGAUCGGGAUAACACCUGGAAACAGAUGCUAAUACCGGAUAACAACAGAUGAUGCCUAUCAACUGUUUAAAAGAUGGUUCUGCUAUCACUCUUGGAUGGACCUGCGGUGCAUUAGCUAGUUGGUAGGGUAACGGCCUACCAAGGCGAUGAUGCAUAGCCGAGUUGAGAGACUGAUCGGCCACAUUGGGACUGAGACACGGCCCAAACUCCUACGGGAGGCAGCAGCCG
rnacentral:rRNA from 1 species